rnacentral:rRNA from 1 species
ACGGGGGGUGCAAGCGUUGUUCGGAAUUAUUGGGCGUAAAGAGCGCGUAGGCGGCUGAAUAAGUCAGAUGUGAAAUCCUUGGGCUUAACCCAGGAAGUGCAUCUGAAACUAUUCAGCUAGAGUAGGGAAGAGGAAAGUGGAAUUCCUGGUGUAGAGGUGAAAUUCGUAGAUAUCAGGAGGAACACCGGUGGCGAAGGCGGCUUUCUGGCCCGAUACUGACGCUGAGGCGCGAGAGCGUGGGGAGCAAACAG